rnacentral:rRNA from 1 species
ACAUCCAGCGAACUUGGCAGAGAUGCCUUGGUGCCUUCGGGAACGCUGAGACAGGUGCUGCAUGGCUGUCGUCAGCUCGUGUUGUGAAAUGUUGGGUUAAGUCCCGCAACGAGCGCAACCCUUAUCCUUUGUUGCCAGCGAUUCGGUCGGGAACUCAAAGGAGACUGCCGGUGAUAAACCGGAGGAAGGUGGGGAUGACGUCAAGUCAUCAUGGCCCUUACGAGUAGGGCUACACACGUGCUACAAUGGCGCAUACAAAGAGAAGCGACCUCGCGAGAGCAAGCGGACCUCAUAAAGUGCGUCGUAGUCCGGAUCGGAGUCUGCAACUCGACUCCGUGAAGUCGGAAUCGCUAGUAAUCGUGGAUCAGAAUGCCACAGUGAAUACGUUCCCGGGCCUUGUACACACCGCCCGUCACACCAUGGGAGUGGGUUGCAAAAGAAGUAGGUAGCUUAACCUCCGGGAGGGCGCUUACCACUUUGUGAUUCACGACUGGGGUGAAGUCGUAACAAGGUAAGCGUAGCGAG